AAUACAUUUUAGAGUGAAAAUGACAACUCAAAUGGGGAAAUUAAAGAAAUCUUAUAGUGAGAGAGUUGGAGUACCUGUAACAUCCUUAAGAUUUCUUUUUGAUGGAAGAAGAAUUAAUGAUGAUGAAACACCAAAACAGACCAGUGAAAUUUUUUUGCAGACCAGCACUGGACCGUGGCCUAGCAGUUGAAAAACAGCUGAUCUAGACUCAAGUCUGGGUUGGAUCCUUGAAAAUAUUCUUGGAUAAUUUGACUUGGAUGUCGAGCCUCCUUCAUAGCCUAUUUUGGACUAGCUAAAUCCACAAUACAUGAAAAAUUUUCUGCUUGAAAUGGAAAAUGAUGAUGUUAUAGAAGUAUACCAAGAGCAAACUGGAGGAAAUUAUAACUUUUGUGAUAGCAGUUCAUGACAAUAUUUUUACUAGUACUUGAUUGCUUACUGUUUUCUCAAUUCAUUAUAUUUCCUUUGAAAUUAGUACAAGGUGGCUGUUGAGAACAAAUCACAAAGGAACUCUUUUUGAGUGGAAAAAGUAAGUUUAUUUUCUAUAAUUUCAAAGGUUAUGCAUUUCAGGCUUAAUGCCCCCUUCAGUCCUAAUAUUAUAGUGAUAGCUGGAAUAACUAAAUUAUUAAAACCAUGGGUAAAAUAAGUAAAACUGUAAAAAUAAAUAUAAUUUCAUAAAAUGUAUAAAGUUUUUUGAUUAAAAAUGUAAAACCUUAAAAACCAAUUAAAACUGCUAAAAUUAAUUUUAUAUGAUUUAACCAAAAUAAUUUUAUUUGUACAGUUUUAUUUAUUUUACCCCUGGUUUUAAUAAUUGUUAUUCCAGCUGUCACUAUAAUAAUAGGACUGAAGAAGACCAUUAAGCCCAAAAUGCAUAUCCUUUGAAAUCAUAGAAAAUAAACUUAUUUUUUCCACUCAGAGUUCCUGUGUGAUUUUGUUCUCAGCAAUAACCUUGUGCUAAUUCUGACAGAAAUACAAAAAGUAUUUUUACUAUUUAAUUUGUAACUUUGUUCAUUUAGAAUUUUUUUUUGUAAAAUUUAAAAUAUUCCAAAAAUCUUUUUCUGAAACUUUAUCACUUUUACUUAAUUUUUUUUUUAAUUUUGUAAUAAUUUACCAUAAUUCUUUCUCAAAUGUUUGAAUGCUCCUAUUAAGACUCUAGCAUUCAUUUUAAGAAAUGUUUUAAAAUAUUUUAUAAUAAAUAUUUUGCUUAUAUACUUGGUUUAACAUUCUUGGUUGAAGAGAGUAAUUUGAAUUCACUUCUUUACAUUUCAUUUUGUUAAAAGUUCUGAAGUAUAAAUUGUAAAAGUUCAUCUUAUAAGAGGCAAUCUGUGGUGUGCUGCACCACUGGCAGACUAACAAUGCUAACAAUUCCCAAAAAUUUUAGAAAUUGAAAUUCAAAUGUCAUAUAUAAAUAUAUAAAUUCAACAUAAAAGUAUUAUAUAGUAUUAUAUUAGGUGAAUAAUUUUAUAGGAAGAAAGUUUUGGAAACUUUUGAAACUUUCAGAUUGUGAAACCACAUCUUAUUUUAGUUAUGAUUUAAUUGACUUCUAAAUAGCCAAACUCCAUCAAGUAUGCCAUGUCACAAGUUGGUGUAAUUGCCAUGUUACUUUGGAAUCUGAAUAUCAAAUACAGAUUAUUCAGUAGUAUAUGAUUAAUUGUAAAACAGCUUAAGCCAAAGUUAUUCUUGCCGAAGUUUUGACCAAAUCUGCAACUGGUGAAACAGUAUUCAUACGACUCCUUUCUUGCAAUGAAAAUGAGAAUUUAUUAUGAAACUAACCUUUGUCAUGACUAUUAACAAAUUGUAAAGCUGAACCCUCCACAAAGUUUGUAUUUAUUUAUCCAAACCUACUUUUAUCAAAAACUUUGUUACCCUAUCCAAGGGUAUGGCAGUAACCAUGAUGUAAAAAUAAAAAUUGUUAAUGGCAAA
rnacentral:lncRNA from 1 species